UUAGGGUUAGAGCUAAACUCUACAGGGCAGUGGCCCUCCAGGAACAAGUUUGGACACCCCUGCUCCAGGAGAAGAAUUUGACACCCCAUUUGGAGGUCAGAAGUCGGGGAUUAUUUAUCCCGCAGGGUUUAUAUUGUAGUUUGAGGUCUAUUUAUUCUCACAGGGCAGCUCAUACUGUGAUGAUCAAUUCGAUGUUGCAUAAAGGUCAUUUGAUAUUUUUUAAACAAACUGAAGACUCUGAUUAAUAAUGCAUUCAUGCAUUGAUUCCCUCUGACCUUUGUAUUGCAGACCAGGUCAAUUAUCUUAUGGAGAUGGAAAGCAUUCCGAACGUUCUAUUAAUGUCCUAAUGGUUGCAUUUAUCAUGGUUAUCGGAGUGGUGAGAAUUAAACAGUGGUGUGAGGCAAGUCAUGCUUAUAUUUUUCUCUAUGUUGACAGCUAGCUGUUUACGUUGCCAGCGAUGCCAUGUAAGGAAGUGCUGAAGGGAGGGAUAAUUAAAACAACGAUUCAUAAUCACCACCACUUUGCCUUUUUGUUUCCUGACAAUGACAAGACAGGAAGAGCUGUCGAGAAAGCCAUCGGCUGGAACUGCAGUGGAUCUUUUACAGCAGUGAAACAAGACGUUGGGAGGCCAAUUUUAAGUUCACAAAAACAACUAGGGUGCACUGUGUCAGUGAAGACAACGUGGCAAAAAGAAACAGGGGGUGGGGGAAAACCCCCCAAAAGCACACUCUCUUUUUCUUUUUCAAACACGGCCAAGUGUCUCAGCUCCCCUCACUGCAGGAUUGGGUUAGAACAUUUUAAUUUCUCAUUCAUACAGAAACUUGUGUGCUCCAUCUACUGGUAAGGAGUAAACUUGCAGUACAGUAGUUAUGAACUGGCAGGCAGGCAGGCAGGCAGGCAGUUUUUCUUUAAUGUUUUGAUUAAAACAGUAAACCUCUGUUGUGCAGCAGUUUGUAGAUAAAAAAAAAAAAAAAACCUCUUAAUGUUUUAUGCCUUAAUUUGAUUACCACUGUUUUUGAGAUCACAUUAGUAUUAAAUCAUAAAUCCAGGGGGAAAAAUAAACAGACAACACAGACUUUCUAAUAACA
ensembl:lncRNA